GAGGAGACGACGUGGCAGGGAGGCGCUGUGGAGCAGCAUCGUGUCCACGACAAUAACACGGGAUGGGGGGGUUGUAGCGGAACGUCCUACACCGUGGCGUGUCGCAACAGUCGGACAGACAGACAGACAGACAGAGGACAAGCAUGCAGCUGGACAUUCAUGUGCCUGUGGACAUGUCCCAGUCAAACUAGUGCAUAUGUCUAACCACUGAGCCUGAGAGGAACUAUUCCACUGGAUCCAAAGUUGUUUGGGGACACAUGAGGACACGUGAGCAUCAAGGUGUCCUGAGUCAUUGACCACAGGUGUGAAACAUCACUCCCAGGGGUCGGUCUGCAUUACUGGUCUCCCGUGCAGCAGAUGGCAAACAACAGACAAUGAGUGGAUGAGACAGAUGAGCCAGAUAAAGAAGAGGGAGGGGCUGAAAGUGUUCAUCUCCCACUGCUUAGCUGUUAGAAGAGCAACGUCAGACCUACAUGCAUCAGUGGGAGAGGAAGUAUUAUUAGUUCAGACACGGCCUGUGUGUUUUCUAAGUACAUGAUAUACUGAUGAUCAGAAGAAGGUGUUUUUUUUGUGACAUGACACGGAGAUCAGCACCACCUGUUGUGUGUUGACCCAGAGUAAACCCUCCUUUCCUGUACUUUCAUUCGGGGCGAAGCUUAGCAAUUUAGCUAAAUAGGCUUACGUGACGGACUCAUCUGCUUUGAAAACCUCUGCCAUCACUUGUUGGCUUUCACACCGUUAUGCAAACACUUAAGUUGCUUAGAUUUGCUGUUGUUUUAGCGUGGUCAUAUGUUUGGCCUGUGAGACACAUGGCUCAAUAGAAAACAGGUCGACAGUGUCUACAGAGGGAGUGUAAGCUGCUUGUUGAUUCACUGUUUUGGAUCUCAACCAAUAGACAAAGGAAAAGCUGGAGAGAGAGUCCAAGACCCUUGUUCAGACCUGGCAUUGACGUCUGUCCUGAAUCCACAAGUGGACAAUGCUCAGUUCAAGUAUAAAUGCAUGCAAUACGCACUUCCAGUGCCCUAUACAUUCAUUUAUUUGUAGCCACCUCUACAAUAUUAACUUCACCAGUUUGCAUUUAGCUUUGUAUUACUAGAAUAGGGGUAGUAUUUUUGAAAAAUUGUGCUCCCCAACCUCAGUUUCCCCUGAGUUGAGAAAUAUCUUCAUUCUUUUCUUUGUUACGUGCUCACUAGUGACACUUGGUCCUGUUAGCGUAACUGUUAGCAAAGAUGGCGGACACUGUUUACAUUCUGGGAAUGAGGUUCCGUCCCCCUAUGAGUGGGACUAAAAAGUGCGGAACUAGCGUUGCAGUUUCAAGCCUCAGACCAAGUGUCAGGGUUUGAUUCCACACGCCACAUGUGUGUCCUUGGGCAAGACACUUAACCCCACAUUGCAGUGUGUGAAUCUGUUUGAAAGAUGUGCAAUAGAAAUUGUGAGUGAAGGGGUGAAUGGCAAAAGUGUAGUGUAAUGCAGUUUUGAAUAACCAUCAUGUGAUCAAUCAAGUGAUUCUAGGAGAUGAAUCCAGGACACAUUUUUAUGCCAGAUGUGAACAGUUGUACUUAAAUCUGUCCAUUUGAUAUUGUAUCACCUAAGACAGGUAUUGAAAUUUUAAUAACUAUUACUUUAUUAUUACUUCCUCAAGAUAAGAAUUGAUGCCAUCAAUUAUGUGCCCACUGCUCCACAUUGUGGUACUAAGUUGUUCUUGUCUGUUUUAGCCAUUUGGGAUGUUCACUUGACAUAAUGACGCCUGAUAAAAUUAGAACCAUAAAAAAAUAAAUUACUUUGAGUAUUCUCAGUGGUCAUUUAACUUAGUUGGCUUUUUGCCAUUGCCAUUGGUUUUUGUCAAUGUCUGACGAUUUACAUUAGUGAACAUCAUUGUAACAAAUGCGAUUAUAUCUUUAAACUUCAACCUUUUUUUUAUUAUAAGUCAUCUCUAUAGCAGAACGAUCUUUUAAAACUCAGUCUUCAGGUUUUCUAACUUUCCAUUGAUUCAAUAAAUACAUAUCUACUUAAAGUGGAGCUGAAGUUUUUAACUAACCUGUAUUUAUUUAAACUGGGAGCAAAAUGGAGUACCGCAAGAAAACUGGAAAAUAACAAAGUCUGAACUUUCUUGCUGCAAGGCGAGAAUGUUGGAAAUGAUAUACUAGUGGUGCCUGCCCCACCGGUGCGCAGUAGGUGCCCUUUUUGUAGUGAAACCCCUGCCCUUCCAAAAUGUCUGUGCACAUCACUGGUUACCACCAUGUAAAAGUGCGACAGUUUGUGGGUCAGAAUAACCCAAACGUACAUGUUAAAAUAUGGAAAACCUGAAUUACACAAUCAGAAAGUGAGAGUGAGUUUGUUUGCGACAAACCAAAAUAUUAAAAUGUAAAAGAUAAAAAGUGCUUAUCACAUUUAAAAGAGAUCAGUUCAGAUUGUAUGAUUUUGCAAACUGGCAUGACAACUUGAUUUCUUGCUUUUGUGGAGAUCCAUAUAGAGGUCCACAAGAAAUUCAGUCCCCAGUGCUGGGGCUGCCUGCCUUAAGUGCAAGGGCUUAGGUUUGGUUACAAGUCUGGUGGGGACAUGGCCAUAAAAACUCACCGCUGUGUUGUCAGAAAAGCACAUUACCUGUGCUCUCUCUCUCUCUCUCUCUCUCGAUAUUUCUGCUCGGCUGUGAUGCGUCCACUGAUGCUCGUAAAAUCUGCUCGCUCGCUCACCUUUUACAGGAUUUGUGCACACGUACAAAUUGCCCUGUCUUAUCACUACAUAAAAAAAUUGUCUGAUAUGCCCUAAAUGUAUUGCUAUGACUAAACAGUGUUUUGGAACAACAAUAUCAUUUCACAAUGACGACAGGAUUUGCAAUGGGCCCUUUGCACAGCAGCCAUUUUGACAUGUUUAGCAGGAAAAACACUGGUGUUACUGAUCGUAGUUACAAUGGCUCUGUUCAGGUCGUGUAAGUCAUGACAUUGUGACGGUGAGCCAGCAUGCACCUUGAAACUGUGGGAGCAAAUAGAACUUAAUCAUCAUUCAUUUGAUUAUUUGCAACUGUGAUUUCCCUACUGUCAUCUGUCAAAAUGGCUUUUGUGCAAAGUGCUUAUUAAGUUUAAAACCUUUAAUUGAGCUUUCAUAAAAAACAUUGUUAUGAAAGCUUUGAUCAUCAGACC